CCUGGCUCAGAUUGAACGCUGGCGGCAUGCUUUACACAUGCAAGUCGAACGGGGUUGGGAGCUUGCUUCCAAUCUAGUGGCGAACGGGUGAGUAAUACAUCGGAACGUACCGUGUAGUGGGGGAUAACGUAGCGAAAGUUACGCUAAUACCGCAUACGAUCCACGGAUGAAAGCAGGGGACCUUCGGGCCUUGUGCUAUACGAGCGGCCGAUGUCUGAUUAGCUAGUUGGUGAGGUAAAGGCUCACCAAGGCGACGAUCAGUAGCGGGUCUGAGAGGAUGAUCCGCCACACUGGGACUGAGACACGGCCCAGGCUCCUACGGGAGGCAGCAGUGGGGAAUUUUGGACAAUGGGCGCAAGCCUGAUCCAGCCAUGCCGCGUGUCUGAAGAAGGCCUCGGUG
rnacentral:rRNA from 1 species